rnacentral:rRNA from 1 species
GUCGAACGCUGGCGGCGUGCUUAACACAUGCAAGUCGAACGGAAAGGCCCUGCUUUUGUGGGGUGCUCGAGUGGCGAACGGGUGAGUAACACGUGAGUAACCUGCCCUUGACUUUGGGAUAACUUCAGGAAACUGGGGCUAAUACCGGAUAGGAGCUCCUGCUGCAUGGUGGGGGUUGGAAGGUUUCGGCGGUUGGGGAUGGACUCGCGGCUUAUCAGCUUGUUGGUGGGGUAGUGGCUUACCAAGGCUUUGACGGGUAGCCGGCCUGAGAGGGUGACCGGCCACAUUGGGACUGAGAUACGGCCCAGACUCCUACGGGAGGCAGCAGUGGGGAAUAUUGCACAAUGGGCGGAAGCCUGAUGCAGCAACGCCGCGUGCGGGAUGACGGCCUUCGGGUUGUAAACCGCUUUCGCCUGUGACGAAGCGUGAGUGACGGUAAUGGGUAAAGAAGCACCGGCUAACUACGUG